UCCUUCAUUCCACCGGGUCCUGU
rnacentral:miRNA from 1 species